UUCGCCGUUCUGGUUCUCUAUAAGCCACACAACCGCCACAAACCAAACCCUAAGACAAAAACCUCUUACGGGAUGUGAUGGGAAUCGUGGGCGGGGAAGGUACGAGCGAGACAGUGAAGAAUGAGUCAGGGAAGAUGAUACAGAGUCCUUGAGGAUGUCAUCGUCAGUGCGGCGAGGGAUGGAUUUGAGAACAAGGUGGUCGUGGUCCUCAUCGCCGCUGGUGCUAGAGGUGGUCGACGUCCUCAUUGCCACUUCGCCGCUGAUGCUAGAGGAAGUCGUCGUCCUCGUUAAUGUAAUUUUGUAAAAAAAACCCUAACCCACUUUCGUUUCGCCCUCCUCUCUCUCUGCGCGAUGCCGCCAGUCCACCCGCCUUUUCUCUCAAUUUCACCACCGCCGCGUCCUCAAUCACAUUCUCUCUCACCGUCCCGACCUCAUCACCGCUAUGAACUUGCUGUCGCCUCUACCGCCACCUCUGUGAACUUACAGACAGCGCGUCUUCAUCUCCGAUGCUGUGCUCAUUGUCGCUUGUUCCAGACGCUUCUUCCAUCUGUUGGGUGGGGAUUGUUGCAGCACGGCGGCUGUGAGACGGUGACUGCGGGAAAGCCGUCGGCGUUAGCAAAGGGGAGGUGCCGAUGUGGAGCUGCAAGAUAUCCUAAUGAGUCUUCGGAGUGAUUUCUGUACUUGGCAAGUACAACAGAGGAAUAGGCAAGAAUCGUAGCACUAAAUUCAUCAUAUAUUCUCACUGCAAGUUAAUGAGGAAAUGAUGGCAAAUGUUUAUAGGAGUUUGAACGGAACUUCUGGCUCGAGAGAUCCCUUAAUCGGCUAACUCACUAUUGACUAACUCACUUAGGAAAGCUGGAAGUACAGAGUGGGACUAAUCGGCAGCGGUCUAACUAAACCGCUGCAGAAGCCCCUUUAUUCCUGCCUUUUUCUCUAGCCGCUGCUGACCGACACUCAAACUAUUUUAUUAGUUUUCCCCCACUUACCCCAAGUACUCUUCCGUGAAACUUAUCUUUCCGGCACUACACCCCCCUCUCUCCCAUCUCUCUCUCAUUACACACAAAGCUAGUCAAGCCCAAACAAUCAUCUAUCUCUUAGAAUGUUUAUCUGACUCUGUCUUCCCUCAUAAAUUACUCUUAUUUCUCUCUAGGAGCCAUUCUCUCUCCUCUCACUUCAUAGCAAGAAUAGAAUUUUCAUUGAAAUACAUAGUCCUGUAACUGGAAAAUCAAUAUCAACUCUUCAUUUCUCUCUCUACAUAUAAACAUAUUAUACAUAUAUAAAUAUGUGUAUUAGAGAUCAAUUAUCAACAUGUACCGAACUCUGUUUCUCUCUCUCUCUUUAAAAUAUAUUUGCCAUACCUGUGCUUUUAAGGGCUAAAAUUAAUCAAUGCAUGUAGUCGAUUAUGAAGCAUAAGCAGCCAUGGGAGCUUGGAUUGGAAUCUAAAGCAGCUGUUGAAGCUCAAUUAUGUUUGAUUGGGGUUCAACUAUUGAAGUUUUCAUCAAUGGAUGUGUUCAAUUUGCGCCGACUGAUUUCCUGCAGGCAUAAGGCAAGUAUCUUGGCACUAAAUCCAUCAUAUAUACUUACUGCAAGUUAAUGAGGAAAUGAUGGUAGAUGUAUAGCAGUGGUAUAAAUAAACCGCUGCAGGAGCCCCUUUAUGCCAGCCUUUUUAUCUUAAUUGCUGCCUAAGAGAUAUUGUGACCGCUGCUGAAACUAUUUUGUUAAUUUCCCCCCAGUUACCCGAAGUACUCUUCCGUGAAACUUAUCUUUCCUGCUCUACACCCGUCUCUCCUCUCUCUCGCACUACGCACAAAACUGUUCAAGCCCAAAGAAAUUUAUAGAACAAUCAUCUAUCUCUGAGAAUUACUCUAUUGCUCUAUCUUCUCUCAUAGAUUACUCUUGUUUCUCUCUUGCAGUCACCCUCUCUCUAGCUCUCUCUCUUCUCUCACUUCAUCGCAAGAAUAUAGAAUUUUCAUUGAAAUACGUAGUCCAGUCCUUUAACUGGAAAAUCAAUGUCAACUCUUUCUUUCUCUCUCUACAUAUAAACAUAUUAUACAUAUAUAAAUAUGUGUAUUAGAGCUAAUUUAUCAGUAUGUACCGAACUCUUGCUUAAAAAAAUAUUUGCCAUACCUAUGUUGUUAGGACUAAAAUUAACCAUUGCAUGUAGUCGAUUAUGAAGCAUAAGCACCUAUAGGAGGAGAUUUCGUGGAGGUAAAAGUCUAGAGCGUUGUGGCUUAAGGAAGGUGACAAUAACACGAAGUUUUUUCAUAGACUGGCCAAUGCUCAUAGAAGGGGCAAUCACAUUGGGAGGAUUCGGGUGGAUGGGGAGGUGUUGUGUAAGGAGGAGGAGAUUUGUAAAGGUUUUGCUGAGUACUUUUCGAUGUUGUUCAUUGAACCGUCUGGGUGGAGACCUUUUCUUGCGGGGCUUCAUUUUGAUUCUAUUUCGAGUGAGGAGAGCUCUAUUUUGGAGGAGCCAUUUUCGGAAGAGGAAGUUUUGCCCGCUUUGAAGAGCUGUAAUGGGGAUAAAGCCCCAGGUCCUGAUGGUUUUACAAUGAGAUUCCUUCUGGAGUGUUGGGAAGUGGUUCAAGAGGAGGUGAUGGGUUCUUUCAAUGCCUUUCAUUCUCAGGGCUCUUUUGAUAAGAGUUUGAAUGCCACUUUUAUUGCUCUCAUUCCGAAAAAGGGAGGGGCGCUGGAUGUUAGGGAUUUUUGCCCUAUUAGCUUGGUGGGUUGCUUUUAUAAGUUGAUUACAAAAGUCUUGGCAUCUAGGUUGAGGAAGGCUCUGGAUGGAGUCAUUUCUGACUCUCAGAAUGCCUUUGUGGGAGGUCGUCAGAUUUUGGAUUCAGUUCUUAUUGCUAGUGAAUGUGUGGACUCCAGAUUGAGCAGUGGGAUUCCGAGUGUUUUGUGCAAGCUGGAUAUUGAGAAGGCGUACGACCAUGUGAAUUGGAACUUCCUCCUCUACUUCUUGGAGAGGAUGGGGUUUGGUGAGAGAUGGAGGAGAUGGAUCCAUUUUUGUAUCUCUAGCGCUCGUUUCUCUGCCCUUGUGAAUGGUGCCCCGUCGGGGGUUUUUGCUAGUUCGAGGGGAUUGAGGCAAGGGGAUCCACUUUCUCCUUUCCUGUUCCUUUUUGUGAUGGAGGCUCUUAGUAGAUUGUUGAAGAAAGCUAUUGAUUUGGGGUUUUUGAGAGGAUUUCGGGUGGGCAGAGAUGUUGCUUGUCAGUUGGAAAUCUCCCACUAUGUUUGCGGAUGAUACUUUAGUUCUUUGUGAUGCAGAAGCAUCUCAACUGAGAUAUUUGAGAUGUGUUUUGAUUUGGUUCCAAGUUGUUUCUGGGCUCAAGAUGGAUGUUGGUAAGAGCGUUCUAGUUCCGGUUGGGGAGGUUCCUGAGAUUAAGAUGUUUGCUCAAAUUCUUGGAUGUCGCACUGGUCUUUUUUCCCAUUUCUUACUUAGGGUUGCCUCUUGGAGUCCCUUCGAGAUGUGUCAGGUGUUGGGACCUGGUUGUGGAUCGAUUUGAGAAGAGACUAGCAAGUUGGAAGAAGCAGUAUCUUUCUAAGGGUGGGAGGGUCACUCUGAUUAAGAUCACCCUUUCUAGCCUCCCCACUUAUUUCAUCUCUCUUUUUCAGAUCCCUUCUUCUAUGGCUGAGAGAAUUGAGAGGUUGCAGCGUAAUUUUCUUUGGGGAGGGGGGGAGGACAGGAGUUUAAGUACCAUUUGGUUCGUUGGGAACAGGUUUGUUGUCCGAUUCGAUGUGGAGGUUUAGGGUUUAGGAGGUUAUUGCCUUUCAAUAAGGCUCUUCUCGGGAAAUGGCUUUGGAGGUUCGGGGUUGAGAGGCAUUGGCUUUGGAGGAGAGUUAUCGCAAGCAAAUUUGGGGAGAGCAGCGGAGGGUGGUAUUCUUUUGAGGUGCGUGGUCCUAGGGGGGUGGCGCUUUGGACUUUCAUUCGGAAGGGGUGGGAUGACUUUUGCAAACAUGUUCACUUUCGGAUCAGGGAUGGUAGGAGGAUUAGAUUUUGGGAGGAUGUUUGGUGUGGGGAGUUUUCUCUUGCUCUCUCUUUCCCACGUCUUUUCAGGAUUGCUUCUCAUAUACAGGCCAUGGUGGUUGACUGUUAUUAUCUUGAUAACAGGAGACUGGCUUGAGAUGUUCAGUUUAGGAGGCACUUUCAGGAUUGGGAGAUUGAGGACGUUUAUCGUUUGUUGGAGGUUUUGUAUAGCCAGGUGAUCACAGAUGGUGAUUCGGAUGGUUGGCUUUGGGAUCCUAACUCUUAGGGUCGGUUCAAGGUUAGGUCUUUUUUUAGGUGUCUUACGGUUGAUGGUGGGGGCCUUUCCCUUAGAAGUCUAUAUGGCAUUCUAAGGCCCCCCUCAAAGUGUCCUUCUUUGCUUGGACUUCUAUUUUGGGAAAGAUUUUAACCCAGGAUAAUUUGAGAAGGAGGAAUCAAGUGGUGAUUAAUCGUUGUUACUUGUGCUUGAGUGGGGAGGAGACGGUUGAUUAUCUUUUGUUGCAUUGCACUGUGGCCAGAGACUGUUGGGUUUUGAUGCUUGGUUUGUUUGGGGUUCCCUGGGUUAUGCCUUGUUCCACUAGAGGGUUGAUUGAGGCUUGGAGAGGCUUUUCAGUGGGGGCUCUCAUUCAGGAUGCCUGGAGGGCUACUCUUCUUUGUAUUUAGUGGUGCAUUUGGCUGGAGAGAAAUCGGAGAUAUUUCGAUGGAAAGGAGAAGCCUGUCUCCUGUCUCUAUGCUUAAGUUCUCUAUUAUUUCCAACCUUUUUUGUUGGGUUUAAGGGAGAGGUUAUAGAUCUUUUGAGGAGAUUGUUUCUUUUUCGGCCUCUUUGAAGGCUUGAGGCGUUUUUUGGCCUUUGUGUUUCCUUGGGUUCCGCUCUCCUUUUGAGCGUUUUUUAUAAAAUUUUUACUUACAAAAAAAAAAAAAAAAAAAAAAAUUGGAGUCUAAAGCAGCUAUUGAAGCUCAACUGUGUUUGAUUGGGGCUUAGCUAUGGAAGUUCUUUCGAUUUGGGCCGACUGAUUUCUUGCGGAUAAUAAGUCGAUUAUGAAGGAUAUGCAGCCAUUGGAGCUCAACUAUUGGAGUUCUCAUCAAUGAACAUGUGUUCGAUUUGGGUAGACUGAUUUCAUGCGGGCAAUAAGACAUUUUGUAGCAGCUUAAGCAGUCAUAAUUGCUGAGAAUUCUGAAACUAUAUGGCAGCAGUUUAUCUGCUGGGAAAACCCAGAAAUAUAUCCUGGAAGAGCAAUUGAGUCCAAAAAACCCAGAAUCAAUUGAGUCCAAAAAACCUAGGAGAGCAAGCUUGUGGAAAGCUCAUAGUCCAAAAAACAUCUAUCCCGAACCAAUUGAGUCCUCACCCAUUGAGCCCAAAGGUUAUGUUUAUGGUUGGAAACAAGAGUCCAAAUAUGCUGUGGUGGCAACGUGUAAGCUGAAAAAGUGUUCUUCUGCAUGAUUAGCUACCUAAGAAAAACACGUAUUCCUAGUAAUAGAAAUAGAAAUAGAAAAUUUUGUAUAUAAUUUAAAUUAUAUAGCAUUGUUUCAUGUAUCUAACUUUGUACUUGGAGGAACCCACUUGAUUUCUAAUGUCCUUCUUAUUUACUUAUAGCAAAAUUAAAUUAAAAAAUUCUAAAAAAACGAAGUCUAAAUAAAAUUAACAAAAAUUUUGUGAAAGCAUCCUCAGGUCCGUACAACACUUUUUAAAAGACUACUGGACCAAACCUUAGACAGUAUGUCCCUCGAUACUUUUGGACCGAGUCUGACCGUAUUUAUCGAGCUUGAUUCUUGAAUCGGCACUUUCAAUCCCAUUUAGAGUCGGUUUGAGGUUGAUUUUUAAUUGCCUAAAAAACGUUUUUAUUUUAAAAAAUUAAAUUACAUAUAGGCCUUUUUGGUAUUUAAUGGUUACCAAUUUUAGUUUACUAGAGAUUUUGAAUGAAGUUAGACUUAUGAACUUUUCAAAUCGCGUUUUGAGUAUAGGUUGUAUAUUUUAGGUAAUUAUUUUUUCUUAGACAAUUUUAUCCUUUUUUUAUUUUUUACAAAGACAAUCUCAGCCAUUCUUUUAUAAAGUUAAAAUUAUAUAUCAAAUAUAGUUAAUUUUGUAUUAAAAGAUAUUAUUGUAAAAUUAGCAAUACAAGUGUUUUAAAAAUAUUAUUACCAAACAAAUUUAAAAAUAAUUUAAUUAUAAAGAGUACAUGUCAUCAAACACCUACUAUAUUUUUCACCAAAUGUAAUUUUUCUACCGCUCCAGUUGUGAAAGCGCUUAUUUUUUCUAACUGCAAUGCCAAACGAGUUCUUACACGGGGUUGCGUUGUAUGGUCAAACCAACACAUCCCCAUUCACGCAUGUAUUGUAAUCCAAUGCAGUUUAUUAACCAUUUUUAACCAAUCCUAAACCAUAGGUUAUGUUAAAUAACCGAAUUUUGUACUUUGCAUGUAAUCUUUACACUAAGAUAUUCACGUUAGUCUAACGUGAUACACAUAAACACCCAACUAUAAAUUAAAAGGGAGGUAUAUCUAUUUGCCGGUGAAAACUUGAAUGAUAGGGUGUAUACAAAAUUGAAGAUAAUGCAUUAUAUACUAAAACAGCCUUCAAAAAAAAAAAAAAAAAAAAAAAAUCCAAUUCAUAUUUAUUAAAUAUCUUAUGAUUAAAUCAUGCAUGCAUGGCAACCUUUUUCUUUUAUCAAUUUGACAUGGAACUGGCACACAACCCAAACUUCAUUCCUCGUUAUCAAAGAGAAAAUCAUGUUUUUAAAUAUUGUUGUAUAUAUAUUGUUAAAUUUGCACAUUAUUUUUAACAUAUAGUAGUCAAAUUCACUAGCAUGCUCUAUUAAUAUGUAUUUCUUUGCUCAUAUUAUCAUCUCUGCUUUCACUAACAUGCUUCUAAUGAGAUUCGAAUUAUUUUGAAAAAAAAAUCAUAACAUCCGAAUUAAAAACCUUGAUAAUAUCUUGUAACAACUCUUUCUUUCUUUUAUGAAUAACAGUGUUUUGAGGCACUCAAAAAUCAAAAUCUAGGGCUAAAAACACUCUCUCACACACACUAUUUCCCUCUCUUCAUGUGAUGAGUCUGAAUAUGAAAUGGCAUUGUCCCUUGGUAUUCGAAGCACAUCAUUGUCCUAUUGAGUAACACUUUUCAAUAAAUUUAUAAGUAUUUAGGGACCUCUGGCGAAUGCUAUGAAGAAAAGAAACUCACUGGCAAAGCUACCUAUUUUUGGCUCUCAAACAAUAGAGGCUUCAUUACUCUUAGAAUGUCUCUCUCUCUAGUCUCUCCCAGUCUCUCUCUCUCUCUUAGAAUGUCUCUUUGACUCUUAUCUUCUCUCAUAGAUUACUCUUAUUUCUCUUUUGUAGUCAUUCUCUCUCUAGCUCUCUCUCCUCUCACUUCAUAGCAAGAAUACAGAAUUUUCAUUGAAAUACAUUGUCCUGUAAGUGGAAAAUCAAUGUCAACUCUUUCUCUCUCUACAUAUGUAUGUAUUAGAGCUGAUUUAUCAGCAUGUACUGAACUCUAUUUCUAUCCCUCUUAAAAAUAUAUUUGCCAUAUUUGUGCUGUUAAGGGCUGAAAUUAAUCGAUGCAUGUAGUCGAUUAUGAAGGAUAAGCAGCUAUUGGAUCUCAAAUCAGAACCUAAAGCAGCUAUUGAAGCUCAACUGUGUUUGAUUGGGGCUCAACUGUUGGAGUUCUCAUCAAUGCAUGUGUUCGAUUUGGGCAGAUUGAUUUCCUGUGGGCAAUAAGACAUUUUGUAGCAGCUUAAGCAGUCAUAAUUGCUGAGAAUUCUCAAACUAUAUGGCAGCAGUUUAUCUACUGGAAAAACCCAGAAUUAGCGUGGGAUUUUCUGAAGCCGCUAUUGAAGCUCAACUGUGUUCGGUUAGGGCUCAGCUAUUGAAGUUCUUAACAAUGCAUGUGUUCGAUUAGGGCUCAGCUAUUGAAGUUCUUGUGGGGCGAUAAGGCAAGAAUCUUAGCACUGAAUUCAUCAUAUAUCCUUUCUGCAAGUUAAUGAGGAAAUGAUGGUGCAUGUAUAGCAGCGGUAUAAAUAAACCGCUGCAGGAGCCCCUUUAUGCCAGCCUUUUUCUCUUAACUGCUGCCUAAGAGAUAUUGUGACCGCUGCUCAAACUAUUUUAUUAAUUUCCCCCCAGUUACCCGAAGUACUCUUCCGUGAAACUUAUCUUUCCUGCUCUACGCCCGUCUCUCCUCUCUCUCGCACUACACACAAGACUGUUCAAGCCCAAAAAAAUUGAUGGAACAAUCAUCUGUCUCUGAGAAUGCCUCUAUGACUCUAUCUUCUCUCAUAGAUUACUCUUGUUUCUCUCUUCGGUCACCCUCUCUCUAGCUCUCUCUCUUCUCUCACUUCAUAGCAGGAAUACAGAAUUUUCACUGAAAUACGUAGUCCAGUCCUUUAACUGGAAAAUCAAUGUCAACUCUUUCUCUCUCUCUCUCUCUACAUAUAAACAUAUUAUACAUAUAUAAAUAUACGUGUGCUAGUGCUAAUUUAUCAGCAUGUACCAAACUCUCGCUUAAAAAAAUAUUUGCCAUACCUAUGCUGUUAGGACUAAAAUUAAUCAUUGCAUGUAGUCGAUUAUGAAGCAUUAGCACCUAUAGGAACUCAAAUCGGAGUCUAAAGCAGCUAUUGAAGCUCAAUUGUGUUUGAUUGGGGCUCAGCUAUGGAAGUCCUUUCGAUUUGGGCCGACUGAUUUCUUGCGGACAAUAAGACAAGAAUCUUAGCACUGAAUUCAUCACAUAUCCUCACUGCAAGUUAAUGAGGAAAUGAUGGCGGAUGUAUAGUAGCGAUCUAAAUAAAUUGCUGCAAGAGCUUGACUUAUUCUUUUUUUUUCUUUCUCUUUCUUUCGGCAAAUAUACAGGAGUCCCUUUAUGCUAGCCUUUUUCUCUAAUCGCUGCCUAAGAGAUAUUGUGACCGCUGCUCAAACUAUUUUAUUAACUUUCCUCCAAUUACUCAAAGUACUCUUCCGUGAAACUUAUCUUUCCUGCACUAAACCCUUCUCUCUAGUCUCUCCCAGUCUCUAUCUAUCUCUUAGAAUGUCUCUCUGACUCUAUCUUCUCUCAUAGAUUAUUCUUAUUUCUCUUUUGUAAUCAUUCUCUCUCUGGCUCUCUCUCCUCUCUCUUCAUAGCCAGAAUACAGAAUUUUCAUUGAAAUACAUAGUCCUGUAAGUGGAAAAUCAAUGUCAACCCUUUCUUUCUCUCUCUACAUAUGUGUGUAUUUGAGCUGAUUUAUCAGCAUGUAAUGAACUCUUUUUCCAUCCCUCUUAAAAAUAUAUUUGCCAUAUUUGUGCUGUUUAGGGCUAAAAUUAAUUGAUUAUCAAAAAAGGGCUGAAAGUAAUCUAUGCAUGUAGUCGAUUAUCAAGGAUAAGCAGCUAUUGGAGCUCAAAUCGGAAUCCAAAGCAGCUAUUGAACCUCAACUGUGUUUGAUUGGGGCUCAACCUGUUGGAGUUCUCAUCAAUGCAUGUGUUCGAUUUGGGCAGACUGAUUUCCUGCGGGCAAUAAGACAUUUUGUAGCAGCUUAAGCAGUCAUAAUUCUGAGAAUUCUCAAACUACAUGGCAACAGUUUAUCUGCUGGAAAAACUCAGAAUUAGCGUGGGAUUUUCUAAAGCUGCUAUUGAAGCUCAACUGUUUUCGGUUAGGGCUCAGCUAUUGUGGGGCGAUAAGGGGUGGGAAAAUUUGGUGAGAUUUGCCUCAAUAUUUUAGGCAAACUGCUAAGAUUCAACUAUGAUAAGUCAAUUUUUGCUCGGGAAGUGAAGAAGCUGCAGGCCGAGCAGUUUCAAGCCUAUUGAACCAUGUUGUGUUGUUGGAGCCUACUGUGUGCCGAAGUAACAAAACUUGCUACAUAGCCAAUUUGCGCUUCCUUGCCUUGGUAUUAGAGUGGAUUUUAAUUCGUGAAUUAAGAGGGAGAUGUCCUUCAUCUUACUGAAGUAAUAAUAGGAUAAUAGUCCUUUUAAUUCGUGAAUUUUAAUUCAUGCUUGCUUGAGCAUAUAAACAUGUAUAUUGUAUAAAAAAAUGUGUAUUAGAGCUGAUCUGAUUUAGCAGCAUGUACAAACCUCCUCUUUUAUUUUUCCUUAAUUGUACAAACCUCUCUUUCCAUCUCCCAAUGAAACAUAUUUUCCUUA